GACAGAGGGUGCAAACGUUGUUCGGAAUUACUGGGCGUAAAGCGCGUGUAGGCCGCCCCGAAAGUCAGGUGUGAAAGCCCUGGGCUCAACCCAGGAAGUGCACUUGAAACUUCGGUGGCUUGAGUUCUGGAGAGGAUGGCGGAAUUCUCGGUGUAGAGGUGAAAUUCGUAGAUAUCGAGAGGAACACCAGUGGCGAAGGCGACUUCCUGGCCUGUUCUUGACGCUGAGGCGCGAAAGCGUGGGGAGCAAACAGG
rnacentral:rRNA from 1 species